AGGUCAUAUACCAUGAUGUCCUCCAGGUUCAACAGCGUGGCUCCAAAUGAUGAAAUUUCAUUCUGGUUUUCUGGCUGAAGACGAUUCUAUUUGUGUACAUCCACCAAGUAUGCCUUCAUCUACGGAUGGGCAGGUUUUUCAAUGUGGCUGCAAGUGAAGAGAUUUCACCCAUUUCUAUGAUUGAAGAAUAUUCUGCUCUGGAUGUAUGUUACAGUUUCCUCAUCCCUUCAUCAAUGGAUGAACAGGGACCCAUAAUACAGUGGAUCCAUAAUUGACUGGAAGCACCACAUUCAAAGCAUCAUUUCAGGAUGAGUAUUUCAUGUCAAGUGGAUUCAAGGAACAGUGCGAAGGAUCCAUGGCCUCAGUCACCAUGAAGACCCUCCCAAGAGCCAGCCCUACUGGGCACAUAUAAAUGAGUGGAGACAUGGAACUCACCCUUACAAGGUCUAGAACCUGACAGAGCACACAAGACAGAAGCCCAAAUAACCAGAAACAGGAAGCUGAAGAUCACCCAUGGGAAAUACAUUAAGUUGCUGCCUAGGCCCCAGGGCUGGCCUCAGUUGUACCUGGUGCAAGCAGGAGGUGGCGCCUUGUUGUGAAUUCGAGACUCAGUCUGUGGCAGCUGCAGCACCAACAUCCACCACUGCAGAGCCUGUCACCAACACAAAGAGGCACAAAGGUAAAGAAGCCACGGGUGCCAUUUGCUCUGUGGCACAUCUCUGGCCACCACCUCCCCCACCUCCUUCCCAUCCCCUCAUCCCAGAGACAUCCUCAGCUUCCAGCUCCCUCCUGCCUAUAGCCAGCUUUCCCAGGGCUGGGCAUGGGGGACAAAGGCUAGUCCUGCCUCUUGUCGUUGUUGUUGAGCCUUCUUGCUUGAGGCCUUUUUGGUCUAGUCUCUCCCUUUCCUCAAUGAAAAUUCAAAUACUCCAGUUUUGGAGUCCUCAUCCCAUUCUCUAGCCUGACCUAUCCAGCUAGUAUGGUACCUCAGUGAAGGAGCUGGUUAAAGGCCUAAUUGUUUCUUUUCUCCUUUUCAAUAAGGAAGCUAAUAAUUGGGAUAAUUCAGACUCAAAUAUUUGGAGACUUCUUAAAUUUAAAAUAGAGUUUGCCAUGAAAGAGAUUAUAUGGCGUUCUUAAUAGAUGGUUUUAAGUCACCUUGACAGAAGCAGCUUUAUUUCUUCCAAUUGUAAUUUGAAAACUGAAGGAAAAAUUGUGGGGCAUGCUUAAAAUGACUGCAAAAGGUAUGAAAUGUUACUGCCAGAGCUGUAAAAGAAGUUGUUUUUGUUUUGGUUUUACCCAAAAGUUUAUCCGUGGAGCUCUGAUUCCUUUAAAAUUCCCACUUUGACAUGAAUGUCUCUUCAGCCCUACUCCAGUAACUUCACAGGCUUUGUUUACCUCCUUGUUCUGAGAGACAGGUAGAGCUAGCUCAUGGUUACAGGAUUCAAAAGAGAUGAAAUGACUUUAGACUUGAAUUUGUAAGGUAAAGACUUGAGAGUUAGAAGGCCAGACCCUGCCUGUGGAAAAGAGUUUGUUUUCAUGGCUCCUCUUCCUACAGGAUGGGAAAGGGGAGGAGAGAGGAAAUAUUUCAUUUUUUUUUUUUU